CUGGGAUGAGCCCGCGGCCUAUCAGCUUGUUGGUGGGGUAAUGGCCUACCAAGGCGACGACGGGUAGCCGGCCUGAGAGGGCGACCGGCCACACUGGGACUGAGACACGGCCCAGACUCCUACGGGAGGCAGCAGUGGGGAAUAUUGCACAAUGGGCGAAAGCCUGAUGCAGCGACGCCGCGUGAGGGAUGACGGCCUUCGGGUUGUAAACCUCUUCAGCAGGGAAGAAGCGAAAGUGACGUACUGCAGAGAGGCCUGCC
rnacentral:rRNA from 1 species